AAAACAUUGCCCCAUGAAAACAAAUAUGGGGUAGUACCUGCCCAGUGAAACAAAUUCAACGGCCGCGGUAUCCUAACCGUGCAAAGGUAGCAUAGUCACUUGCCUAUUAAUUGUAGGCUAGAAUGAAAGGGUUAACGAAAUAAAGACUGUCUCAAUUAAUUACCUAAAAAUUAUUUUCUACUUGAAGAAAAGUAGAUAAACUCGAAGGACAAGAAGACCCUAUAGAGCUUAAUAUUAAUUAUAGAGCUAUACUAUAAAAAUAUUCGGUUGGGGCGACCCAGGGCUAAACAAUCACCCGCUACAUAAAAGAUAAAUUAAUCAAUUGACUGACCCUUCAAAGAUCACUAAACUAAGCUACCUUAGGGAUAACAGGCUAAUCCCACUCAAGAGUCCUUAUCAACAGUGGGGUUUGGCACCUCGAUGUUGGCUUAGGGUAUCUAUAUAGCGCAAAAGUUAUAUAAAGAUGGUUUGUUCAACCAGUAAUUCCCUACGUGAUCU
rnacentral:rRNA from 1 species